ACUAACCCCGGACAAAGCUCCGGGCCUCCGUCGUCUGUGUUUGUGUAGGUUCGACUAGCGGGGUUUUUUGGCAGCAACAGAUGGGAUUCAAAUACUAGGACUGCUACAACUGCAGAUUCUGUUUGGGAAAAUGCUAUAAAGGUAAUCCAUUCCUUGAAGCAAUAGUCAAUGAAUAAAUAUAUAUAUAUAUAUAUAUAUAUUUUUUUUUUUUGCCAACAGUGUAUAAUAUCGAAAGAGUGGACUUCCACGGUGGCCAGAGUUGUUAGAGGUCUUCUCAGACUCAAGUGCUCAAGGAGAUAGAGGAGUAUCUCAGCAUACUGCUGGGAAGCAAAAGUCCAUCUACAAGAAACCAUCAUGGAUAAUGACUUUAUGUUAGUUGCUACCAUUAAUGAUUUUAUGUUAGUUGUUAGAGUAUAUAUUACGUAAUAGAAAACUCUAUGUUCUAUUUACUUAUGUGAUAUUUAAAAAGAUAUUCCCUAUUGAAUCUCUAUCACAUUGGGUUUUUUCAUUUUAAUCAUGUAUGAUGUCUUCCCUUUUGUCAAAAUUCUAAUGGCAUAACUGUAAUUAAUGAUACAUGCAUAAGAAACCGUUUCUUGAAACAGAAAAAUCAAACACUUUUUUGAGGUAAAAAAAUUGUUUCUUGGAAUAGAAACGGGAGAAACCGUUUUUGCUGUUUCUAGACACAGAAACGACUGAAACAAAAUCAAACGGCCCCUUAGCAACCAUGUCAGGCUGUAACCUCUGUUCACUCGAUACCCCCCUAACCUCUCCUAUAAAUGUAUUCAAAAUUUGGGGACAUGGAGAUUGCAAGGAAGUUGUUCGAUAGAAUGCCCAUUAGAGACAUAACUUCUUGGAUCACAAUGAUUUCAGGGUGCACAGAGAAUGUUGACCCCAGAAGAUGCUUACUGAUGUUUUAGAUGAAGAAAGGUAUUGUGUUGACCAUUAGCAUUACAUGUAAUCCAGCACUUAGUAACCCAUGUAGGCUCACAUUAACAUCGAGGUUUCAGAAUCUAUAUGGUCACAUGUCCAGCUUAAUUGGCACUCCACUGUGAUGAACCCUAUGCAUAUGUUGCUGUCUUCAUGGCUUGGCCACACUGUGUAGUGGUGUAGGCAACACCUCGGUCCCUUUAUUAUGUACAGCAUCUCAUAGGUGCAGAAUCUUCCAUUCAUUUGCUUAGGCAAUUGGCACCCAUUAAUUUGGGGUUGAGUAGUAAGCUCUACAAGACAAAGAGGCUAACAAAACAUUCUUGUUUUUCAUUUACACUAUCUCUCUUCUUUUCACAUCAUUCCUCUUAUUAUGAGAUAGAUAUGAACUUUUGUUUAUGCAUAAUUUUUUAUCUUAGGUUCUAGAUCUAUUGGGGAAGGGUUUGGUCCUAGGUUCAAUUCUAGUGGGGAAGGAAGUAGAGCAAAUAAGCACUUCAUGAAUUGGAUUUCAUUUGUCCUAAUUUUCAACAAUUAGUCACUGGGGUGUUUCAUAAAUUGGAUUUCACACUUGACAAAAAUUGGCAAUUGGACAGUUCCUACAAACCAUAUUAUUAUAAUGAGCAAUUGAGUAAUUCAUACUCAGCAACUAAGUGUUGGCAUGCAUCAUAGCAUUUAGAUCUGAUUGGUUUUCUAUUUCAGUACAUAGUAUUCGCAACUAGUCUUAUAGUGGGUCUUCUCAUUUUAAGGGUACCUUUAUAUGGUCAGAUUUCUUAUAUCUUGAGCUUUAGUUCUGAAGUACAGCAAUUUUUGGAUGAUGGUAGGUUGUGAUUUUUUCCAAGUAUUGCUUCUGUUUAGUAUGGUGCUAGCAGACAGAUGGAACUUAUGGAUGGACCUAAUGCUACACAUUUCACAUCCAAGGCUCUUGAGCGAUGGCAGCAAAGAUUGAUUGACCUCUUUGAGGGCUGUCUUUAUGACAUCUCUGAUGCUGCUCUAACUGACAUAGUCUCCAAAUACUCUAUUGAUAUUAGGUACCACAUAGCUACAGAAACCCCAUUAGUUCCAAAUGCAAUAUUCCAUACAAAAGUGUGUGCACAUGCAUUUUUAUGAUACAGUUGUUCUGUAGUGUACGUUAGUAGGAAAAUAGCUUGAACUAAUUGUUUUCAUUUCUCUUUUUAAUCACCUUGAAGGACAUGAUUGAUGGGAUGAGACUGAAUUUGAAGAAAUCUAUACACAAGAACUUUGAUGAACUGUAUCUCUAUUGCUAUUAUGUAGCUGGUACAGUUGGACAAAUAAAUUAAGGUUUGAGAUAGGACAAAACCAAGAGUCUCUGUUGACUCUGUUUGGUAAAGAUAAGGAGAUUAUUUCCUUCACAUUUUACUAUAGAAAAUUGCAUGUAUUAGGUUACUAUUCUAGGUUCAACCACUGUAACUAGAUAAAAUGAGAAUGCGGUCACUAAUUAUGAUAGAAAUAAAGAAUUGUGCUCCGAAACAAAGACCACUAUGCCUUUUUAAAAGUAAUUGAACCAUCAUAUUCUGUUUUAUCUUGUUUCACAGCAUGUUUGCUAGUUGGUAAUGGAUUCUCAUCUGGUUCUCAUUUUAAUGAUUGCCCCUCUUUGUCUAACUGGUUGAUAUGCAAAACUUCUAGCUUUAGGCUUGUAAGUUGAAAUCAUAAGAUUUAAUUAUUUUUUGCAAUGAAACCAUGAUGGACCUCCUAUGGAUAGACCAAACCUACCUUGACCCUUGUUUUGGAGAUUUGUAAGACAGCUUGAAGCUUUACUGCCUAGUUUGUUGUUCUUGCACGUUGGGAGGUUAUAUCCAAUUUCAGCAUUGUCAUCCUAAUGUUGAACCUGGUGGAAUUUUGAUGUUAAUUUGAGUCAUGGCAGGGCAAUGAGUUUCUUUGUUCUUCUCUGAGAAAUUGCAUGUAUCUAUUAUAUGUAUUAAUUUAAGUCAAAAGAGCUUCUUAUGUAUUUAUUAAAACUAAUGGUAGUCUUUGAGUGCAACUUUAGAGAAGAUAAAGUUGAAAGAACUGACUCAAUUCCCUCUUAUACCUAACUUAUAUUUUGUGAAAGAUGUGACGACAUGUGACUACAGGUUUACUUGGUAUAAUGGAAACCGGUGAUCAAGCUAAAUGGUAAAAGAAUGUUAUAAACCGGUGAUCAAGCUAAAUGGUGGAAGAGUAUUGGUGAACAAUGGCACAUGAAAAUUUUCGACACCAAACCCAUACUUAAAACAAGUUACUUCAAGGUCAAAGAAGAUGAUACAAUGAAUGAUGCUCCUGUCUUUCAACUUAUUGAUUUUUUGAAGAAGCUGUCAAGUUUACUGAGUGUAAGUCCGACAGCAGUAUAUAAAAACUUGAAAACACAAAUUAUAAUGAGAGUAAACAAUAAGUAGAAUAUUUUAUGAAGAAUCAAUGUCUCAUUUUCAGCCCCA